GGAAGGAUCAUUAACACGUAUCCAAACGUUAAACCCCCCGUGAAUAUUGAAGUUGCUCUCCUGACGUCCUGUGACGGUCUUGCAAAAGCGCGCCCCAUGGUAUCUCACAUGUUUGUUAUGACUCAUGGUGCCGCGUUAGUAGCAAAGAUAGUCUCAGCACGGAGUGUGGAUAUGAUGCGGCACUGUUACAAGUACUGGCCUCGGUUGCCCCUGUUCCUGGUCUGAAAGUGUCCGGUGACAGUGGGAUAUCUGGCGGUUGGUGUCUGACAGUGUCACCAGUCGUGGACGGAUAACUGAUCAGUUAGAUGAGGAGCUCCCUGGUAUCUCACAUGUUUGUUAUGACUCUGUGGACCUCCUUGUUGACCUAUCAGAUCGUUCUGGAUCACCCAGAAUUUUUCGGACGAGUCUUGAGCUGUAAUGGCUCCUCAGUAAACCUACAAUUCCCAAUUCGGGGGAGCAGAUGAAAGUCCUCCCCAAAAAAACCGAACAACUGUUAACAAUGGAUAUCUUGGUUCUCGCAACGAUGAAGAACGCAGCGAAAUGCGAUACGUAAUGCGAAUUGCAGAAUUCAGUGAAUCAUCGAAUCUUUGAACGCAAAUUGCGCUCUCGGGUUACCCCCAAGAGCACACCUCUCUGAGUGUCGGUUAAACCAAAUGUCACCAAUUUAUUGGUGUACGACAGACUGAGGGUAAGGAGUCUCGGCUUCUUUCCCUUCAAAUUCUAAAGCAGCACGAUUGCGUGCGUUAGUGGCAAGUUGUUUUGGGUUAAUAUCCCCAAUCCGAUCCACCGACCCCAUUCAUGCAGCGAAAAAGAAACAACGAAGGAGGAAUGAGUGUCAGAUGAAAGUCUUGCACUUGUUACUUUUUCAUCUAUGAAUUAGACCUCAGAUGAAGUGGGAAGACCCCCUGAAUUUAAGCAUAUUAUUAAGGGGAGGAAAAGAAACUAACAAGGAUUCCCCUAGUAACGGGCGAGUGAAGCGGGAAAAGCUCAAAUUUAAAUCCGCUAGUCUAACAGCUUGCGGAGUUGUAAUCUAGAGAGGCUCUCUCAGUGCCAGCCUGGUUAUAAGUCCUUGAAACGGGGCAUCAUAGAGGGUGAGAAUCCCGUCUUUGAGCCGGAGCUAAGUACGUACGAGGAGUUUUCUAAGAGUCGCGUUGCUUGGGAGUGCAGCGCUAAAUGGGUGGUAAAGUUCAUCUAAAGCUAAAUACUGGCGAGAGACCGAUAGCGAACAAGUACCGUGAGGGAAAGAUGGAAAGAACUUUGAAAAGAGAGUUAAAAAGUACUUGAAAUUGUUAACAGGGAAGGGGAGAAAACCAGUCAUUCUUCAGUUCCAUUCGCUUCUCCUUCGGGAGGGGUUACUUGGGGCAGAAGAGGGUCGACAUCAUUUGGGUGUCUUCGCAGAAAGUGUGUGGGUUGGUGCGUUUCUUCGGAUUCGUUUAACCCAUGCGCCCUACGUUGAUCCUGGAUGAGGAGUGAUUGCCCGCGCCCUCUCGGGGGCAGGACACUUCGAGGUCUGUUUGCCUUAACGCGUGAGAGAACAAAGUUCUGUCUGUGUGAAGGGUGAAUACUGCUUUGGAUGUGUUACUUGCUGGGCACGCGAUGUCGACGAAAUGGUUCUCUUCCACCCGUCUUGAAACACGGACCAAGGAGUCUAACAUAUAUGCGAGUAUUUGGGUGACAAACCCUGAUGCGCCAAUGAAAGUAAAGAGCCGCAAGGCUUGAGGUAGGAAUCCUGCCCUCGGGUGGGAGGCACUAUCGACCGAUCGUUCGCUUGCGGAAGAUUUGAGUAAUAGCAUAUAUGUUGGGACCCGAAAGAUGGUGAUCUAUGCCUGAACAGGGUGAAGCCAGGGGAAACUCUGGUGGAAGCUCGUAGCGAUACUGACGUGCAAAUCGUUCGUCUGAUUUGGGUAUAGGGGCGAAAGACUAAUCGAACCAUCUAGUAGCUGGUUCCCUC
rnacentral:misc_RNA from 1 species